ensembl:lncRNA LINC01122 long intergenic non-protein coding RNA 1122
ACGGUCUCUGUCUCCUGAUCACGCUCCCGUUCCCGAUAUCUCUCCCGCUCCUUGUCCCAAGGUGUCUUGAUUGUGGAGGGUGUAUAAUCCCCAAUGUCUUCGAAAAUACUCCUGUCAGCCUCAGCAGGUUUCUUCUCUUCCAGCUUCCCUUUAUCCUUCUUCUUAAGCUUCUUGUUACGGGUUCCCUGCCUCAGCUGGGUCUUCAUCCUCAUUGUACUCCCUUGGCAUCUCAUGGUGACGUGACUUAGAAGGUGGUGCAGAGACGUUUGAAACUAUUGCUUUGCUGAAAACAUCUGACUGCCAGGCUAGGAUGUGACACUUAAGGUAAUUGUGAUUUUUUUUUUCCGCCUUUAGAGACCUCUUCAUCUGAAAGGUUCUUGGGUCCCCACUUGGUGUAAAGUUUUGGCCAUCUCUUGAACUGUUUCCUCCUCAGUAUAAAGCCUUUGUGAAGGUGUGUGGGAGCUGCAAGGCAAGCAGUUUUCUGAGGAGUUGGGGGUAGGGAUGUAAUGUUAAUGUUCAGGAAUCCUUCUCUGUGCCCACUUUGGAAAUACUUCCUCUUAUCUUUCAUUCAGGAUGCAGGGGAUAAGGCAAAAGUGCAGGCCACAUGCAAGAGAUUUUGAAUUAUGCAUUAAGCUGAUAAUGCCCCAGAAUGCAAGCUUAUGUCAAUAAAUAACUAGGCUGGCAGGAGGAAGGCAGUCACCUUACCAGUGCGGAGGGUACCACAUAGGGAGAGAACUAGAGGAAGACGAGGUGAAGGGUGAAAGGCGCUCACAUCCUGUUAGCUUGCUCUGAUGAAGAAGCAAGAAGAGUAAGUUAAUAUUGAAAUUACUGUCUAAUGCCUAUCUGCUUUUAAAUGGAUUUAGCCAAGGUAACAAGACAAUCUCUAAGGUGGGCCCUGUGUGUUCAAGGAUGCAUGUGUGGCGGGGUUAGCCCUUCUGUGGAGCUGUAUGUAAAGAAAUUCUGUCUGCAGAGAAAUUCAUGAAUUCCUUAAUGGGACCCAUACAUUCUUUAAAAGGGCAAGAAUUUUGGUGGCAAAAUUUGGCAAAAUUCAUAAUGGGACACUCAAGGUUUUGUUUCACCAGGUAUUCUUUUCUGAUUAUGCCGUAGAAUAGCAGUAAAAGUUAAGCAAGUGGAAGAAGCAGGAUUAAAAGAAUGCCAAAAAUUGUGUCCCUGGCACAUGAUACAGGACUACCCAAUGCUGAUGAGAAAUGAUUCUUUAAUCUUUGUGUUAUUUCUCUUGCCUUAGUAAAAUGCAUCAAUAAACGUGACUAUCUUCUGUGAGAAAUGAACAGUGGUGCACACGCCAGCAUAUACCUGCACACACACACACACGAUGUUUAAAAAAAAAUUAGUCCUGUUUCUCAAGGAAA